AUGAACGCUGGCGGCGUGCCUAAUACAUGCAAGUCGAGCGAACAGACGAGGAGCUUGCUCCUCUGACGUUAGCGGCGGACGGGUGAGUAACACGUGGAUAACCUACCUAUAAGACUGGGAUAACUUCGGGAAACCGGAGCUACUACCGGAUAAUAUAUUGAACCGCAUGGUUCAAUAGUGAAAGACGGUUUUGCUGUCACUUAUAGAUGGAUCCGCGCCGCAUUAGCUAGUUGGUAAGGUAACGGCUUACCAAGGCAACGAUGCGUAGCCGACCUGAGAGGGUGAUCGGCCACACUGGAACUGAGACACGGUCCAGACUCCUACGGGAGGCAGCAGUAGGGAAUCUUCCGCAAUGGGCGAAAGCCUGACGGAGCAACGCCGCGUGAGUGAUGAAGGUCUUCGGAUCGUAAAACUCUGUUAUUAGGGAAGAACAAAUGUGUAAGUAACUAUGCACGUCUUGACGGUACCUAAUCAGAAAGCCACGGCUAACUACGUG
rnacentral:rRNA from 1 species